rnacentral:rRNA from 1 species
GAAGGGAACCCGGGGAACUGAAACAUCUAAGUACCCGGAGGAAAAGAAAGAAAACUCGAUUCCGUAAGUAGCGGCGAGCGAACGCGGAGGAGCCUAAACCGGAAUGCGUGCAUUCCGGGGUUACGGACUGCAUUUAAGAUUCUUUGAAGCUAACAGAACGGUUUUGGGAAAGCCGGCCGCAGAGGGUGAAAGCCCCGUACGUGAAAGCUGAUGAGACUGAGCAGGAUCCAGAGUACCACGAGACACGUGGAACCUUGUGGGAAAUCAGGGGGACCACCCCCUAAGGCUAAAUACUACUUAGUGACCGAUAGCGCAUAGUACUGUGAAGGAAAGGUGAAAAGGACCCCGGGAGGGGAGUGAAAGAGAACCUGAAACCCUGUGUCUACAAGCUGUGGAAGUGCUUUAUAUGCACGACCGCGUACUUUUUGUAGAACGGUCCGGCGAGUUACGCUUACUGGCAAGGUUAAGCACUUCAGGUGUGGAGCCGUAGGGAAACCAAGUCUUAAGAGGGCCUUAAGUCAGUAGGAGUAGACCCGAAACCGGGUGAUCUAUCCAUGUCCAGGUUGAAGCUGCCGUAAGAGGUAGUGGAGGACCGAACCCACAUCCGUUGAAAAGGGUGGGGAUGAGGUGUGGAUAGGGGAGAAAUUCCAAUCGAACCCGGAGAUAGCUGGUUCUCCUCGAAAUAGCUUUAGGGCUAGCCUCGAUACAGAUUUGCGGAGGUAGAGCACUGAAUUUCCUAGGGGGCGUCAAAGCCUACCGAAGAAUAUCAAACUCCGAAUGCCGCGUAAUCGAUUAUCGGGAGUCAGACUGCACGAGAUAAGUUGGGCGGUCAAAAGGGAAAGAGCCCAGACCUUCAGUUAAGGUCCCCAAGUGCGCGUUAAGUGGAAAAGGAUGUGGGAUUUCGAAGACAACCAGGAUGUUGGCUCAGAAGCAGCCAUCCAUUCAAAGAGUGCGUAAUAGCUCACUGGUCGAGAGGUCCUGCGCCGAAAAUGUCCGGGGCUGAAACGCGCCACCGAAACUAAGGAACCGAAAGGUUGGUAGAGGAGCAUUGCAUGCGGGAAGAAGCAGUACCGUAAGGAGCUGUGGACUGCAUGGAAGAGAGAAUGCCGGAAUGAGUAGCGAGAAUAAGGUGAGAAUCCUUAUGGCCGAAUAUCCAAGGUUUCCAGAGUAAAGCUGAUCUGCUCUGGGUAAGUCGGGGCCUAAGGCGAGGACGAGAGUCGUAGCCGAUGGACAACAGGUGGAGAUUCCUGUACUGCGGUAUGACAGAACUGUGGGGACACGUAAGGAAAGCGGAAGCCGGGAAUGGAAAGCCCGGUGCAAGCGGGGUACCAGCCACUCUGGCAAAUCCGGGUGGCAAUGGGAAGCCGUGAUGCGGAGUGAAAUAAAGUAACGAAGUCCGUGAGCCAUGCGUCAAGAAAAGCCGCUAUCGUUUAUACCGUACCCGUACCGUAAACCGACACAGGUGGAUGAGGAGAGAAUCCUAAGGCCGGCGGAAGAAGCAUUGUCAAGGAACUCGGCAAAAUGGCCCCGUAACUUAGGGAUAAGGGGUGCCUGGGAAACCAGGCCGCAGAGAAUAGGCUCAAGCAACUGUUUAGCAAAAACACAGGUCUAUGCGAAACCGAAAGGUGAGGUAUAUGGGCUGACGCCUGCCCGGUGCUGGAAGGUUAAGAGGAGAGGUUAGCGCAAGCGAAGCUUUGAAUUUAAGCCCCAGUAAACGGCGGCCGUAACUAUAACGGUCCUAAGGUAGCGAAAUUCCUUGUCGGGUAAGUUCCGACCCGCACGAAAGGCGUAAUGAUUUG